ACGUUCCGGUUUCUCUCCAGACCGCACACGUCGUCCGCCUUUCACGAAAGAUUUCCGUGGAGAGGAGCCGUUGUGAGAUCCUACUCAGUGUUUUGAGGCCUCGUUUUUAUGAGAAA